UACGGAGGGUGCAAGCGUUGCUCGGAAUUAUUGGGCGUAAAGGGUAGGUAGGUGGUCUCAUUUGUCUGGGGUGAAAGCCUUGAGCUUAACUCAAGAAGUGCCCUAGAAACGGUGAGACUAGAGUCCUGGAGAGGGUCGUGGAAUUCCUGGUGUAGCGGUGAAAUGCGCAGAUAUCAGGAGGAACACCGGUGGCGAAGGCGGGAUCCUGGGCCAGUACUGACGCUGAGGAGCGAAAGCGUGGGGAGCAAACAGGG
rnacentral:rRNA from 1 species